AAAGCGUGCGCAGGCGGUCUUGUAAGACAGAGGUGAAAUCCCCGGGCUCAACCUGGGAACUGCCUUUGUGACUGCAAGGCUAGAGUACGGCAGAGGGGGAUGGAAUUCCGCGUGUAGCAGUGAAAUGCGUAGAUAUGCGGAGGAACACCGAUGGCGAAGGCAAUCCCCUGGGCCUGUACUGACGCUCAUGCACGAAAGCGUGGGGAGCAAACAGGAUUAGAUACCCCAGU
rnacentral:rRNA from 1 species